CACGCAUGUAAUCGGUGAAGGAUUCAGGAUUAUCAUGGAAAUAACGUUUUAAACGUGCUAUAUAAAACGGUGUUCAAUAUUCAUACUACAUGAUGGGCCAUAUGGCCAAACAAACACCUUGUGCUUUUUUGCUCAGAUUUACGCACGCAUUAUUUUGUAUACAUAAUAUAGAUUUAAAUCUAGCAAUUCAAAGGAGCGAUUAUAGAAUACCCGGCCACUUUUGAAUUUUGAUAGUGUUUGCUUUUGGGGGAUACGGGGAUACGCAGUCAUUAAAAUGACGUAAUUAUUCGAGUAGUUUAAGAGGAGAAUGGGUAACUAUCAUUUUUCAAUGAUACGGG